rnacentral:rRNA from 1 species
UACGUAGGGGGCAAGCGUUGUCCGGAUUUAUUGGGCGUAAAGAGCGUGUAGGCGGCCUGGAAGGUCAGCUGUGAAAACUCGAGGCUCAACCUCGAGACGUCGGUUGAAACCACCUGGCUAGAGUCCGGAAGAGGAGAGUGGAAUUCCUGGUGUAGCGGUGAAAUGCGCAGAUAUCAGGAGGAACACCUAUUGCGAAGGCAGCUCGCUGGGACGUAACUGACGCUGAGACGCGAAAGCGUGGGGAGCAAACAGG